UGUUGGGGGUUUCAUUUCGAGUCCCAGUUCAGGUGUGUGCGGUGGGCUGGGCUGUCUCUGCAGCGUGCCCAUGGUCAAAGAACGAGGCCUGGAGAGACAGGGUGGUGAAGCUUGCCUCGAUCCUCAGCCCUUGGGGAGUGCAUCGCAUAGCCUCCAGCUGCCCUGAGAAAGCAGCCACCUUCGCAGGCUGCUACCAGCUAAGACGCUGUUAUCCAGAAUGUCCGUGUACCCAUGUGUGGGGUGGAUGUGAAACCAAGCUGCCCUCUGGGAAGGAGAUUGUCAGCUGUUAGGAGGAAAGAAAAUGUGAAGAGCAAAUUGAUGAUAGCUGCUGACAUCUUUGCAGGGCAGACCAUGACAUCAGUCUCCAGAGCAAUAGGAGGUGGCAGGCAUCCUGAGAAGAUCUGUGCUUUCAAGGAUUUGUCUAUUGCCAGGAAGCUCUCCUCACCAUGCACCUGCAAAGGUAACAGACAGCAGUGAUAGAGCACACCUGCUUUCGUUCGGCACCUCCCUCCUACCAUUUGAGAGAAGUCUUCUGCCCUCUUAGCUGGU